GCGCACUCUUCGGAGUGAGCGGCGGACGGGUUAGUAACGCGUGGGAACGUGCCCUUCUCUAAGGAAUAGCCACUGGAAACGGUGAGUAAUACCUUAUACGCCCUUCGGGGGAAAGAUUUAUCGGAGAAGGAUCGGCCCGCGUUAGAUUAGAUAGUUGGUGGGGUAACGGCCUACCAAGUCUACGAUCUAUAGCUGGUUUUAGAGGAUGAUCAGCAACACUGGGACUGAGACACGGCCCAGACUCCUACGGGAGGCAGCAGUGGGGAAUCUUGGACAAUGGGCGCAAGCCUGAUCCAGCCAUGCCGCGUGAGUGAUGAAGGCCUUAGGGUCGUAAAGCUCUUUCGCCAGAGAUGAUAAUGACAGUAUCUGGUAAAGAAACCCCGGCUAACUCCGUGCCAGCAGCCGCGGUAAUACGGAGGGGGUUAGCGUUGUUCGGAAUUACUGGGCGUAAAGCGCACGUAGGCGGAUCAGAAAGUAUAGGGUGAAAUCCCAGGGCUCAACCCUGGAACUGCCUUAUAAACUCCUGGUCUUGAGUUCGAGAGAGGUGAGUGGAAUUCCGAGUGUAGAGGUGAAAUUCGUAGAUAUUCGGAGGAACACCAGUGGCGAAGGCGGCUCACUGGCUCGAUACUGACG
rnacentral:rRNA from 1 species